GUAGAUUUGAGGGAAAGAUUAAAAACAAGGAUGUCUGGGAAUGACUGAAGGGAUCUGACAGCAGUGAGGGAAGGAAGUUAUCACCAGAAUCCUUGGUGAGUAGAAGAGACUUCUCUUGAAAACCAUAAAGAAAAGAUUCCAGGAUGAAGAGGAGGAGGAAGAACACGUUUAACAAUUUUCUAUAAGCUUGCCAUUAGUUAUAAUAAAAACAAUGAACAUGACUACAAUAAUAUGCUAAAUGUUAUUAAAAGAUUCCAGUUUGCAAGAAAUCUGAGUGUCUGACUCUACACUAGAGGAACUCUUUUCUGAAGAAGAUCAGGUGCUGAGAAGAAGCCUUGUUCUACAGCACAACACUGCAAGCCUCCUGUCCUUCCCUCAGAAGAGCCUGUCUUCUGCUGCUGGGGUAAGAAACACCCUCUUCCUCUUCUCUAUCAGCUGUCCAGCACCUAACUCUGCCUCCUCAGCACUGUCUGAAGAGUCUUCUCCACAGUCAGUAAUCACAGAUUCUUCUGAGAAAGUCGAUAUGUUCAUUUUCUUAAAAAACUUUGUUUUUUCGGGUGGGACAAAUAAUACAGGAGAGAUGCUAGAAAUCUCUAUAUUGUUCAUUUUUCAUAUCUUUACGCUUUAUGAAUGUUUUUCUUCUGAGAAGCUCAAAAAUUAUGGUUCUUUGGUAAUUGCUUUAUUGUUUAGGUUUAUCCUCUGAUAGUGAGCACAGAGCCCUGAUCAUGACAUGCAAGAAAAAGAAAGAAAUCAUGUCCAUGAUUUACUAAUUCAUUCCCUCUAUGUACUAAAACAUGCACGAUUACUUUUACAUUUCAUUGAUUUGCUAAAUCGUAUGCACAAUUUACUAAUUCGUUCUCUUGAUGUAUAAAUAGUGUACACGUUUUAGCAAAUCGAGGGAAUGAAAUAUAAAAUCGUGCGCAUGAAUUAGCCUAAAUUUUUUCCUGCAUGUCGUGUAAUUAAAGCACAUCACCACCAGACAUUUAUACCAGGAGCCUCAUAUACGACACUCACAGUUUUACUUUGUGCAGUAUCUCUGUGCAGUAUCUGCUGAAUUGUUUCAUAUCUAUUUAUCAUGUAUUUUUCGUUGCACUAAAUUAUGUUGUAUCAAUAAGUUUACUGAUAAUUAUUUUUAAUUUUCACUAAUAACGUCAUUAACCAUCUCCCCAUCUUUAAGACAAAAAUGUUCUAUUGUUUAUAUUGUGUAAUCUAUGAAUUGAUGUGUUUAGUUUUCUGUGCUCAUAACUUAGUAACAUUUUGCAUGGUUAAAGAACAGGUGCGAUGUUCAAAAUGUUUUUAUACAAAGUAGUGCUGAAUAAAUAUUGAUUUGUGAAUGAA